rnacentral:rRNA from 1 species
AACGAACGCUGGCGGCAUGCCUAACACAUGCAAGUCGAACGAUCCCUUCGUGGAUAGUGGCGCACGGGUGCGUAACGCGUGGGAACUUGCCCUUAGGUUCGGAAUAACUCAGAGAAAUUUGAGCUAAUACCGGAUAAUGUCUUCGGACCAAAGAUUUAUCGCCUUUGGAUGGGCCCGCGUUGGAUUAGCUAGUUGGUGGGGUAAAGGCCUACCAAGGCGACGAUCCAUAGCUGGUCUGAGAGGAUGAUCAGCCACACUGGGACUGAGACACGGCCCAGACUCCUACGGGAGGCAGCAGUGGGGAAUAUUGGACAAUGGGCGAAAGCCUGAUCCAGCAAUGCCGCGUGAGUGAUGAAGGCCUUAGGGUUGUAAAGCUCUUUUACCCGGGAUGAUAAUGACAGUACCGGGAGAAUAAGCCCCGGCUAACUCCGUG